CGACGGUGAGUAACGCGUAUGCAACUUGCCUAUCGAGGAGGGGGACUAACCCGGCGAAGUCGGACUAAUACCGCAUGAAGCAGGGGCCCCCGCAUGGGGGAUAUUUGCUAAAGAUUCAUCGCUGAUAGAUAGGCAUGCGUUCCAUUAGGCAGUUGGCGGGGUAACGGCCCACCAAGGCGACGAUGUCUAGGGGUUCUGAGAGGAAGGUCCCCCACACUGGUACUGAGACACGGACCAGACUCCUACGGGAGGCAGCAG
rnacentral:rRNA from 1 species